rnacentral:tRNA from 1 species
GGUUCUAUGGUGUAGUGGUUAGCACUUUGGACUUUGAAUCCAGUGACUUGGGUUUGACUCCUGAUAGGAUCU